UACGGGGGGAGCAAGCGUUGUUCGGAUUUACUGGGCGUAAAGGGCGCGUAGGCGGCCACCGCAAGUCGACUGUGAAAUCUCCGGGCUUAACCCGGAAAGGUCAGCCGAUACUGCGGGGCUAGAGUGCAGAAGGGGCAACUGGAAUUCUCGGUGUAGCGGUGAAAUUCGUAGAUAUCGAGAGGAACACCGGUGGCGAAGGCGGCGAUCUGGACGAUGACUGACGCUGAGACGCGAAAGCGUGGGGAGCAAACAGG
rnacentral:rRNA from 1 species